GCCAGGUGUGGUGGUGUGCACCUGUGGUCCCAGCUACUCAGGAGGCUGAAGCAGGAGGAUCACUUGAAUCCAGGAGGUCGAGGCUGCAGUGAGCCAUUACUAUGCCACAGCGCUCUAGCCUGGGCAAUAGAGUGAGACCCUGCCUCAA
rnacentral:SRP_RNA from 1 species